CCUACGGGAGGCUGCAGUGAGGAAUAUUGGUCAAUGGGCGAGAGCCUGAACCAGCCAAGUCGCGUGAGGGAGUACUGCCCUAUGGGUUGUAAACCUCUUUUGUCGGGGAGCAAAAGCCGGACGUGUCCGGCUGUGAGAGUACCCGAAGAAAAAGCAUCGGCUAACUCCGUGCCAGCAGCCGCGGUAAUACGGAGGAUGCGAGCGUUAUCCGGAUUUAUUGGGUUUAAAGGGUGCGCAGGCGGAUUUUUAAGUCAGCGGUAAAAUCGUGGGGCUCAACCCCAUCCAGCCGUUGAAACUGGGGAUCUAGAGUGUGCGAGAGGUAUGCGGAAUGCGUGGUGUAGCGGUGAAAUGCAUAGAUAUCACGCAGAACACCGAUGGCGAAGGCAGCAUACCGGUGCACAACUGACGCUCAGGCACGAAAGCGUGGGUAUCGAACAGGAUUAGAUACCCGAGUAGUC
rnacentral:rRNA from 1 species